rnacentral:rRNA from 1 species
UCCUACGGGAGGCAGCAGUAGGGAAUCUUCCACAAUGGACGAAAGUCUGAUGGAGCAACGCCGCGUGAGUGAAGAAGGGUUUCGGCUCGUAAAGCUCUGUUGGUAGUGAAGAAAGAUAGAGGUAGUAACUGGCCUUUAUUUGACGGUAAUUACUUAGAAAGUCACGGCUAACUACGUGCCAGCAGCCGCGGGAAUACGUAGGUGGCAAGCGUUGUCCGGAUUUACUGGGUGUAAAGGGCGUGCAGCCGGGCUUACAAGUCAGAUGUGAAAUCCUGCGGCUCAACCGCAGCACUGCAUUUGAAACU